rnacentral:tRNA from 1 species
AAAAUCCGUCGACUUAAAAAAUCGUGAGGGUUCAAGUCCCUC